GUUAAGCGACUAAGCGUACACGGUGGAUGCCCUGGCAGUCAGAGGCGAUGAAGGGCGUGCUAAUCUGCGAUAAGCGCCGGUAAGGUGAUAUGAACCGUUAUAACCGGCGAUACCCGAAUGGGGAAACCCAGUGUGAUUCGUCACACUAUCAUUAACUGAAUCCAUAGGUUAAUGAGGCGAACCGGGGGAACUGAAACAUCUAAGUACCCCGAGGAAAAGAAAUCAACCGAGAUUCCCCCAGUAGCGGCGAGCGAACGGGGAGGAGCCCAGAGCCUGAAUCAGCAUGUGUGUUAGUGGAAGCGUCUGGAAAGGCGCGCGAUACAGGGUGACAGCCCCGUACACAAAAGCGCAUGUGCUGUGAGCUCGAUGAGUAGGGCGGGACACGUGGUAUCCUGUCUGAAUAUGGGGGGACCAUCCUCCAAGGCUAAAUACUCCUGACUGACCGAUAGUGAACCAGUACCGUGAGGGAAAGGCGAAAAGAACCCCGGCGAGGGGAGUGAAAAAGAACCUGAAACCGUGUACGUACAAGCAGUGGGAGCACAGGUUUACCUGUGUGACUGCGUACCUUUUGUAUAAUGGGUCAGCGACUUAU
rnacentral:rRNA from 1 species